rnacentral:rRNA from 1 species
AGCAGCCGCGGUAAUUCCAGCUCCAAUAGCGUAUAUUAAAGUUGUUGCAGUUAAAAAGCUCGUAGUUGAAUUUCGGGGUUAGUAGAUUGGUCGUGCCACUGGUACGUACUGGUCUUACUGAUUCCUCCCUCCUGAUGAACUGUAAUGCCAUUAAUUUGGUGUUGCAGGGAAUCUGGACUGUUACUUUGAAAAAAUUAGAGUGUUUAAAGCAGGCUAACGCUUGAAUACAUUAGCAUGGAAUAAUGAAAUAGGACGCUCGAUCCUAUUUUGUUGGUUUCUAGGAUUGACGUAAUGAUUAAUAGGGAUAGUUGGGGGCAUUAGUAUUCAAUUGUCAGAGGUGAAAUUCUUGGAUUUAUUGAAGACUAACUACUGCGAAAGCAUUUGCCAAGGAUGUUUUCAUUAAUCAAGAACGAAAGUUAGGGGAUCGAAGACGAUCAGAUACCGUCGUAGUCUUAACCAUAAACUAUGCCGACUAGGGAUCGGAUGAUGUUAAUUUUUUAAUGACUCAUUCGGCGCCUUACG